rnacentral:lncRNA from 1 species
GGUAUAAGAGCUAAAGUUUUUAUUUCGGUGGCCAAGUCCAAGAGUUUAAAAGAGUUAAGCGUGAUAGAGCUAAAGUUGUUUUAGGAUGGGUGACUCUCUGCAAAGUGGGGUAUUACAGUUGGUAUUAAAGUCAAUUAUCAGCCGGAAGUGUGAGAUGAGUUUCGACUGAGUCGGGGUUAUACAGUAGGAAAAGUGAGGUUCUCAUACUGAUGAUUAUUGUGGGUAGAGUGUGGCUCUCCCACAAUAAUGUUGAUUAAGGUUAACGAAACAAAUUUCACAUCGCCUGAUACUUGUGAGUCUGAAUCUGACGAGAACGUCAAGGUUUGAAGAGGAGAUUGUGAGAUUCCAAAUAAUCUUAUAUAAAAUACAAUAAGACUAAAACUUUUAAUUCGACUAUAGUAAUUUAGGCGGUGGUUAUGCCUAAAAGGUUAAGAGAGUUAAAUAUGCAAUAACUAAAAUAGUUCUAGAAUGGAUGAUCUUCUAGAAAGUGGGGCGUCACAAGUAGAUAUGCUUUUUUGAGCAAAUAUUAGCUUUAUUUCGGCCGGCACUGAUUCUUAUUGAUUUAUUUCUGCCAGAUGUUGUAUUGCUGUUUUUGGAAUGGAUAGUUCUGAAAACUGAAACUGUGGAUGCCUGUUGAAAUAUUUUUGCUUAAAAGAAAAAAAAUCACUUUUGGGAGAAGCUACAGAAGGCCAAAUGCAGUUAAAGUAGAUGUUGGCUGAUUCUCUGGUGAGAUGUAUUAUUCCCUUUGGCAUCUAUUCAUACGUUUUGUGCGUUUGCGCAAAUAGAAGAUUUAUACUGAAUAAGAUGUUUAUGCAUUUAGUCAUGUAUGCAAAAUGAUUGGUUUUUUCAGUAAUAUUAAGCGAACGAAUGCCCUGAGAUAAUGCCUAUCUACAUGAAAUAAUUUUUUUUUUAAAAAAAAAAUAGAAGUUGAGGGCUGUGAAUUAAAAUGUAAUUAAUUGAGUGGGCUUUCUCGAAACGUCUCGUAAGCUUAGGGGUCUCGAUGCAAAUGUACCCGUAGUUUUAUGUGCUAAAAAGGAAUGGAGCGUAGCGUGGGCCCACGGAGGGGGACCACAAAAUAAUAGGAGCCAAAAUUUGAAAGCUCAGCAUAUGUUAUACCCUCGGAACAAUGUAUUAGUGAGAGAUCACGAUAAAGUAUACUGUUUCCAAAGCCCACGUGGCAUUCUCUCAUUGGUGUUUUAAACUGCUCCGCGGUACACUGGAACACCUUAAACUUUAAACCUCUCGGCCCCGCUAACGGCUAUAUUCCCCCUCCCCCUCUCUCCCUCUCACCAAAAACCCCUCUCUCUCUCUCUCUCUCUCUCUCUCUCUCUCUCUCUCUCUCUCUCCUCGUUCCCGAUUCUUCGAUUAGGGCAUGGAUUCUUCCUCAAUUUCCAGUUCGAGGCCUCGGUUUCAAUCGCGUCGCGGAGUUCGUGUGGUGGGAAAGAUCCGGCCUUUGCACGAUUCGGAGGUCGGAGAUCUCUCCCGUGGCGAUCCUUCUUGCUCCCCCAAUCGGCCUCAGGUCUCCGUCGCGAGAUGUGAGGGGGAACACGCCGUGAUCUCCUUUAAAGAUCAGCCCAGCGGGUUCGUUGUUCUUCGACAUUUUAUCAUAUGUGUGUUCGUUUCGAUUCAAUUAGGUUGAAGUUCUAAACUUGGAAACAAUUAGGGUUUUGAUCGUUUGGUUGGGGUUUUAAUUAAUUGGGAAUAGCCAUUGGUGUUAGGAUGAAAGGGUCGAAGAGGCGUGCGCUGCUCUCUUUUGUUCAAGUUGCGAAUUAGGGUUUUGAUCAUUUUAUUAAAGACUUCAAAUUAGGGCUUUUGUGUGUUGGUAAGUGUGCCAUUGGAGUUACCACGAAAAGGUCCGAGCAAGCAUGUCCCGAUUUUGUUUUUUCAAGUUGCAUGUAGGUUAGGGUUUUGAUCGUUUUAUAAAUUAUUUUUAGAUUAGGGCUUUCCUCUUUUCUUGAUUGUGUUUUUCAAAUCGGUUUCAGUCGGAAAGAUUCUUACAAGCUAGAUUGGUGCUAUGAGCCAGAAGAGGGUGUCGGCGAGAUUUUCUCAAGAGAGGUUAAGCCUCUGAUACAGGGGUUGUUUCAAGGAUCAAAUUCUUGUGUUAUUGCUUAUGGUGCUCGCGGAAGUGGGAAGACGCAAAUCCUUCAGGUGAAUUAUUGUCGUUGAUCAUCUUGGUACUCAAUUUUUGCAAGUUGAAUUCUUGUUAUAUCCUAUGUAAUAUUCUAAUGCAAUAGUGGGUGUACACAAAUUAAGAAGAUUGUAUUUCACAAAUUGGUAUUCAUGUUGGAUGUAAUCAAGAGCGUGCAUAUGAAAUUACAAAUUUGAAUUUGGAUUUCUUAUGCAUCAUUCAAUAGCCCUUGUUUGAAAAAUAUAGAGCAUUAAUUUUGGGACAGCUUGAUGACUAUAGUGUAAAAUACAAAAAAUCCAAGGAUGUUGUAUACAUGCCUUUCUGAUGUUUACUUGUUAAUUUUGGAGCCCAUAUGCUUGUAUUUGUGUGCACGCAUGCACACAUACGUGUGUUUGAUGCUUUCCGUUUGAAAUUUCUAUUAGGGCAUUUUUCUAGAUUCGUAUGUGAGACAAGAUCUGAUUUUCCGAAUUGUUUUUAAUAUUUAGAAACCAACUGACUGUUCUGAAUGGCCCUUUUCUGUACACUAAGUGGACAUAUGUUUCAAAUACAAUUAGUUUAUUGAACACAUAAUGUUAUAUGUGAAAACCAUAAACAAGAAAAUUUUAAGUGAUUUGCAUCAGUCUAAAUCAUUCAUAUAAGAAGCUACAUGUAUCAACCAAUAGCGACCUCAUUAAAUUUGAAGGCAACACUGCUCCAAUGCAUUUGAUUCUCGGAUUCUUGAUGUUCCAGAGAGUCUAAAUCAUAUUAACAGGAUGGAUCCUGCACAAAUUUGUCACAACAUUCAUUUGAAUUGAAAUUAUUUGAGUUCAAAGACUCUUCCCAGAGCUUCUAACGUGAUCCGUAGAGGCCAAAUAUAUAAUUCAGUGUAUGAUAUUGCAUUUAAUUUCCAAAACAUAGGGCUCUGAAGAGAAUCCUGGCUUAGCUCCAAUUACGUUAUAUGAGAUCCUAGCGAUGGCCAAGGAAAUUGAAGGGUUGGUAACUAUAUCAUGCUACGAAGUGUUUCAAGAUCAUAUCUAUGAUAUAUUGGAACCCAAAGAGCAAGAAGUGCUUGUUCUUGAAGAUGCCGGAAGGAGAAUUCAGCUUAAGGGACUUUCUCAAGUGAGAUGGAAAAUCCAUUUUAUAUUGUUGUUAUUCUAGAGGCGUAGUUGAUUACUGAAUAACUGUUUCUGAGAGAUUUAUUGAAAUAUGACUUUUUUAGGUUCCUGUGAAAUCCAUGUCUGAGUUCAAUAGUUUGUACUUUCAUGGAUGUAACCAAUGGAAGCAAUCACAAAAGAUUGGGAGUGAAGAUGCAAUUAGGUCCCAUCGAGGGUUAAUUAUAUACGUCUCUCGUGUUGUCAAAGAAUCGAACCAUUCCCUCGUCGGAAAGAUAAACUUGGUUGAUUUGGCAGGUAAUUCUAUUCUAUCAAGAAUUUUGAUAUUUCUUUGCUAUUUGAGGUAUUAAUUUAGAAAACAAUGUUAGAUUCCUGCUGCUUUUUUAUCAGAUUAUGAUGACACCAAAUCAAGAGACAAUGGUUCACUCAAUCUAUCUGUAGGGGCUAAAGUCAACAAGUCACUCUACGCCCUAAUGAAUGUAGUCUUCGCACUUAAUAGCAGUGAGACUUAUGUUGCCUACCGACAAAGCAAACUGACCCGUUUGUUGCAAGAUUUCAUGUGCAAAUCAAGUGGGGCGGUACUGGUAACUUGCUUGGUAAGGCUUUCUUUUAGAUAUAUACAUACCCAUAUUUUUGUUGUAUUAUAUAGUUUCCUUUCUUCCUCUAUUAACCAAUUCGUUCAUGAUUUAGAACCCAACAGCCUGCCAAGAUACUAUUCAUGCACUUAGUUUGGCUUCUCGGUCAUGCCAAGCAGCCAAUGUUAAUUGCACUAGCUCAGCCAAGAAUAGCAAUACUAUUCCAAGGUUUAUUCCACCGUCUUCUCCUUUUAAAGGUGCAAUCCGUACUUUAGAUGGUUCAGUGCUAAAGGAUGAACCAUCUAAAUCUGCUAAGAAUGAAAAAAGAGGAAAUGGAACUCCAUUUGUGCCCAAGACAUUGUUGUAUGUUCCUUCCUGAUGCUGCUUUUUGCUUGGACAUAAUGGACAAAUAUAGUUUGCUUUUUCAACUUACACCUUAACCCUUAUAUAUGCAGGCAUAAACAAUCUAGUUCUACCAAAAGACCUGGAUUUUCCUUUAAGAAUUUACCUGAGGAGAAAUCAAAUGAUACCAUCUCUAUCUUAAGUGGGAGGUCCUGUUGUAAAUUUCUUCUUCUACUUCGCAAACUUUUCGGAUUCAACUUUUGAAGUAACAGUGGGCCUUUUUCUAUUGUUGCAGGAAGUUAUUCAGUGCCAAUGUGAACUCCAUAGAGGUAAAAUAUAAUUUUUCGAAGAUUUCAGAUAUUAGUUCUCAUCCAUUGAUAUUUCCAUUUUAAACUAGGAACUUGCUAUUCACAAGACUAAUAGCUUUAUUUGAGUUAGCACAACAUCUUGGUUAAUUUUUGAUGUUGGACUCAAUUAUCAGUAGUCUUAUAUGAUUCAUGCCAUAUUGAGGUCUCUAUGAGGACAAAAAUUUUGAAAUGUUUAAUGGUGAUUUAGCUAGCUGGCGUGGAUUAUCUUUAUGGUCUCGUUCUUAGAAAGGAUGCUUUAUAACUUUCAUGCAGGAUAGUACUUCAUCUAGCGCUGCUACAGCUGUAGAUACAACUACAAAUGAGGUUGGUUUAGAGUCAAAGUUUUCUGUAACAAAAAUUUUGCCCCAUAAAGUUGAGUUAAUCAAGUCUUUACAUCUUUAUAGGACAUUAACUUACGGCAGUGCAAACAAAUCGAGACAUCUAUAACGGAUGAGGUAGGUACUUUUUUUUUUUUUCCUUCUGGGUAACACAUUAUGCUCAUCCUAAAAUUUUAUAAUCUCUUAAUCUGUUCUAAAAGAAUAUGCAGGAAACUCUGGCAAGCAUUGCUGAUGAUGUGGUGUCUCCUGCAUUGGCAGAAGUGGUUAGUCUCUUUCAUUUAUUUAACUAUUAAAUGGCUUAUGGCUAUACUACUUUUUUGUGCAAUAUUAAGAAGCAUUGUACUAUUUUAUUUUUGACUUUCGCUUCUUUUUUGUAUAGAAUGUUUGUGUUUCAGAUGAAUAUACAGAUCUUCAGGAUACACAAACUGAUGCAAAGCCAGCUAUUAGUGAACAUGGUGCGUGAUGGGAAUCCAUCUAUUUCCUCCUAAACAAGUACAUCUGAAACUGGAAAAUAAACUCCCAUAAGGGCCUAUUUGGUCCAUUUCGUAAUGAGGCAUUGCACUGCAAUGUGGCGAGAAAAAGCCCCCGUUGUGGAACUAUUGAGCAAUGUAGCUUCUUGCAGUUGUUGGAUGCACCAUACUGCAAACAGUUACUAUCGCACGACCUUCCACUGCUCUGGUGGAACUCACCACACUGGACAAAGCUAGACCAAAUGGCCCCUAAUUCAAUUCUGUUUAUACCAUGCAGAUAAUUCUGUUGAGGUGAAGACUCCAAUGCGUGCCCAUCAGACUUCUCCGAAACUAAGUGAAAAGCUGAGAGAGAUAUCUAACUCAUUGAAGCUGCUAAGUACCCAGCCUAUUAACAUUGGAACACCAAAAGCCGAUGUUUCUUGUAUUAGAAAAGAAAUUAUGGAUUCCAUUGACCCAAAAACUCCCGGAGAACCUUUAAAUUGGAGACUAGAUAACCGCCCAACAUUUGAUCCUGCCGAUACACCACAGGACAUACUCAGAACCCGUAGUACAGGGCUGAAGGUUUUCUCUAACCUUUUGUUUCUUUGAUGUCACCGUGUGAUUUCACAAUUCAGGUUACCUUAUCCAUGGAAUUUUGUUAUUAUGCAGAAAUCGUUGGUUCAAGAAUGUUUAGCUUUUCUCAAUUCUGCUAACAAGUAAGUAGAAAUUUGUUGAAGCUAAAAAUUUCCUUCUGUAACAUGACUGUAUGCUGACUAAACAAUGCUGUAUUUUACCAUUCGCUUCUAUUGCACUGAGUUUUUAAUAGUUGUCAGCAUAUCUAGGAAACUUGAGUGAAUAUUGAUUUACUUUUUGAUUGGUUCAAAGCGUUCAUUGUUAUAUUUAUCAUUAGACCUCUUGAGUUUUGAGAUAUAUUGCAUAUUUAUCGUUUUUGAAAUAUAUAAUGAAAGAACUGAAGGUGUUAUGUUAAGAAACUAAUUGUAUCAUUGCAUGCGAACUUAGUUUACUAGAGUUACCUGAAAGUAAUUUAGAGAGUUCUUUCUUAGCAUUCUCUUAAAAGGAUAUUGAUUGGCUUGCUGUCAAAAGAUUUAUAAAGAUAUAGAAAAGAGAGAGGACAGAAUACAAAUUCUUAAGAAUAUGAUAUAUCAUCUCAUUGAUGGACACACUAUCUUGAUAAAUCAUAUAAGGCUUUGCAUUUGAAUUGAAAUCAAAUUCUAUUUUAAUUUCAAAUGAUACAAAAGAUUACCAUUUAACUUGUAUAUCCAAGCGCGCCUUAUUUCACAAUACAAAAACGACUUUUUUAACUAGUCUUUCAGUCUAUCCAUUUGGGACAACUUGAUUCCUAGAAACCAUGAGUAACUUGCUAGUUUAGAGGAUACUCCUUUAAUCUGCAUUUGAUUAUUGUUGGUUUGGAUCACUAGAUUAAGUACUUCUAUAUUUCUAUCUCAUAAUUCUUUCUUUGAUUGCAGGGAGGAACUUAAGGGGCUAAAGGUUAGUUCACAAAGAAAAAGAAAAAUACAAACUUUAUUUGUUGAUUUUUUUUGUUUUAAUUUGACAUUUUCUGUUACUUUUUCAUGUGCAGGGAAUUGGAGAAAAGAGAGCUACAUACAUACUUAACCUCCGUGAGAAAAGCCCAGAACCCUUCAAAAAUGUAAGCAUUCUUAAUCCAAUACCACGAAAGUUACUAGGAAAUAUCUCAAUGCCGCUAAUUUUUUCUCCUCCUUUUACCUAUAAAGUCACUAAAAUAUGGUAUUUAUUUAUUUAUUUCCAGUUAGAUGAUGUUAAAGAUCUAGGUUUGUCUUCAAAGCAGGUAAACUAUCCGUUCCUUUUUGCUAUCAAUCAAUAAUAGAUCUCUCUUCCACAGAAUAGAUUAUUUUCUUAACAUAAUACUAUGCACCUUUUUCUUUCAAACAGAUCAAUAAAAUGAUGUCGAAAAUUUUAGAGGAAUUCUAGUGUUACAAUUCUACUGUACCGGAACCUUCAAACUAGGAAGGAGAAUGAGUCAUGUAAAUUUGCCAAUAGAGUAAAAGUAUUGUUUACCGUAUCGGAACUGACGAACGACGUGUUGAAUAGUGUGUAUCGAGUGAUGUUGUUCUUUGUGUUGUUAUUUGUGCAAUGUAACUUAUCUGUGAUCAUUUACUUCAGUAAUGUAUGUUUGCUAAAUAUGAUUGUUCUUACAUAAUGUUUGAAUAUGGUUGUUUUGGCUUCUUGUAUAACAAUUAUGUAGAAUAUUCCAUGGUUCAAAUUAUAUGAAAUCUAGUGAUGGACUUUUUUUGAGU